GCAAACAGGUUGCCUAGCGAUGUGUGAACGCAAGAAGCAGUGAACUUAGACAAUGGCGCGUGCAACGGUUUUGAAAAGGAAAGGACAUCGGAUGGGAAAUGCCUCUCAGCAUCAUUACUCUAAGUGUAGUCUAAGCACAGAAUGGUGUCAUUGUCAAGCCCUUGGACUAACGUGCCACGCGCGAACAAUUUAAGCACUCGUUUCACUUUGUUUUAGACACAAUUCUAAUGUUUGAGAGUGUCUUGAAGAAGGAAAAAAACUAAUUCCAGCAUUUGUCACUUUUACACUCCAAUUAUUGCUGUUAUAAUUGCAAGAAAGUUCCACUGACCCAUCGUUUGCUCCAUAGCACCUUCCAACAAGUCAACAUUGUUCCAAUAUUUCACUCAAACGAAGAGCCAAUUUGCAUCUUCAUCCAUCUGCGCUCGGUGACAUUUGGUUUUAAUCAAAACUCCCACUCUCCAACUCCAACAGAAAGAAUGGAAGAAAACAAAGCGAACGGAUUGAGAAGAUCAAUUUCGCUUCCCUCUAUCGCUGUGUUUGGAGAAAAGGAAACCCUCACCCACGCUUGAUUUAUGAUGCAUCCGAAGCCCGAAAUAAAAGCCCGUAUUCUCCACUUCUCACGGAGCAAAGAGUUCGGGAGAUGGCAUUUUUCAUAACCCCUAAACCCGAUAACCUCGGGUAUGGAGCAGAUCCGCUGAGGCUCCGGCCCACCUGAGCGCUCGCCCUAUCGUACUCGCUCCCCAGUACAGCAAACAAACAAACAAUUGAAAGCUGCUCGCACAAUGCUUCUCCCCGCCGCAUAAUGGCUCCUCACCUGAGAUGGCACACGCUGCUGCUGAACGAUUGGAUCGCGAUUAGACAGCGCGCCCCGCGGGCUAGACCGGCGGGGGUUGACCGGCGAGGUUAAGUGCUGGUGAAUGUCUGAAUUGAUGCCCUCGGCUUGGUUUGGCAGUGGGAAAAGCGCGGUGGUAGAGAGGCAAAAUAACUAUAAAUUCUAAUGCACCCAGCGACCCCGGUGGUGCUGCCUGGCGCUAUUGAUAAAAUACGAACGAACCCAAAUUUCGUACCCCCGGUUUGACAAAUGGACUGCCAUUUGAAAUGAUGCUUGCCGUGCAGCAGCGCUGGUUUGUGCAGCAUCACAAACCCCUCGAGCGGGCCCACCACCGUGCGAACGAUUUGCAUAUUAAUGAUGUGAAAGUGUUCGGUUUUGCGGCCCGGCACGUUGAAAGGAAGCACCCACCGGUACUGUUUGUUGACAUUCUUUCAGCGGGAAGAUUGUGUGCAUUACUCUUCGCACACCCGGCUGUCGCUAUCGCCGACAGUAGCAUCAGUUGCAAUCACAAAAAGACACCUCGCUUUCGAGGCUGCACUGUUCAUUCCAUCCGCCGAACUAUAAUAUUUUGACAGCCACAAAUAUUUGCCCUUUCACAACUUCAACGCCAAAAGCUGAAAAACAUUGAAACAGUCAACAAAUUUUCGUUCUCAAAGCGUUGCUCUCAAGCGUUGAUGGAAGCGCCUGGAUGGAUGCGCUGAAACCAAACCAAAAAAAACAGAGCCUCCACGGGUGGAUUUACGGGAAGUGUACGACAGCAAGCGAGGGCCCACUGAGGGCUGCGAGGUGAAGUGAAAAUCAAACAUCUUCACCAUAAUUGACGUCAACUUGCCGUCAACGCAAAUAGAAAUAAUAGAAAUGAGCGCUGGAAAUGAGCGCGGGCGAGGUGGAGAAAAAAAAACGCCACGCUGCGUGAAAAGAAAACACUGUAAAUUUUACACACCAUACCACUGCGGUCCGUACGCGUUCUGGGUGCAUUCUUUCAUUCUUCCCAUUCCUCGC